rnacentral:lncRNA from 1 species
UGGUAUGAGUUUCAACUAUCCUAUCUGUUGUGGUACCUUUGUAUGUUUGAUUGCCGUGGCUGAGACUAAGACUUGAGUGCACAUCUUUCUUAGCUUUAAUAUUAAUUAUGGAAUAAAUAUGGGAGCCCUUUGAAUGCUGUGUAUUUUCUUAUCGAUCUCCUGAUUUUACUUCUUUGAAUUAUUUAAAUCUUAUUCUUGAUUUUUCUAUAAAGUUAGCAGUUAAGAUCCAUUAAAUUUUAAAAAGUAAAGUUAAAACUCUAUCUGUUGAUGACUUGCCAGUGGUCUCUUAAGAAAUUCGCAUUGUGUCCCUCUUUUAUCUCUUAAUGACUGAUUUUUAUCGCUUAAGAAAUUCAACUCCUUUAGAUUUUUUUUCUUUCUUUUUCUUUUUGGUCUUCUGUUGCUGAUAUUGCUUCUCUACAGAGCAGCAUUGUCCAAGAGUAAUGGCAGCUGCUCAAACGCUAUGCGAUAUUGCAACUUCUGCUUCAUUGAGGCAAAACAUAGAUGGGAUAGUAAGGUGGCCAAAAAAGCCUUCACAAAAGUCCAUGAAAGCUCGCAAGUUGAAAUCAGAGGAAACAGAAGAAUUAUAUACCAAGCCGACUAUAUACAGAUUAUGGUCCAAUAAUCCAUUCAAGAACGAGGGCCAUCAAACCCCACAUCCCUUGAAGAAGCCAAAGCUAGGAACAACAACAGAAAACAGAAGAGACAACAUUGCGCAAACAAAUUGUAGAAGAGGACCAUUAAAUUGGUCUACACCCAGAUCAAGUAGAUCUUCGCCCAGUAAAUUCAUUAAAGAUUCAGUUUCAGACACUAAACAGUCAACCGUGGGUACUGUGAAACAGUCGUCAAUGAUGCCUCCUCCAGCAACAACUCUUUUGUGCAAAGCUGGCGACGGACAACAAAAGACGCGAAAGUUAAUGCUUAUGGAUUGGAAAAGAGGAGGAGGAGGAACAGGUUAGAUUCUGAUGAAUAAAACUCUAGUUUUUAUAUCCAUGCCCAACAAAAUGAUGUUUUAUUAAAUUAGAAUCACUGCUCUAUAGUGUGUAGUAGUGACUAAAAUGGUUGGUCGGUUGGUUGGGUGUACAUAAUAUUGUUGUAAGUGGUUGAUUGAUAGGUUGUAUUGUAACUGUCCGUCAUAAAAAGUGACACGCUUUCUAAUUGUUGUAACAUCAACUUCAUUCCAGAACGCAGUAGCAAAUUCCUUAUGCUACUGUGUGAAAAGUAUUUAACGACGCAAUAGAAAUUCUUAGUUCUUAUUACUAUUCGGAACUAUUUGCUUUCCUUAUUUGUCCUUUCAACCAAUAUUUUUCUUCCUUCUUUUUCUUUUCUAGUAUUGUCACAUCUAUUUAAUAGGACGAGAAAGUUCGAGUUGUUUCUGUUUUUUAGUGCCGAAGAGAUGGCUAAAGCAAUGGAGGCAACAUAGACGACAACAGACUGCUCUUCUCAUAGUUGUCAUUGUCACUUAGUGUAUUUUUUUAAUUGUUAUCACCAAGUUUGUCCUCUUUCUCUAUGAAAUUCAGGGAAGACAAGAAACCUUGUUGUUGGAAACCAACAUAGUUGAAUGUAUUAUUAGCGAGAUUUUAUUAAAUUAUUAAUAUAGAAAAGUCUAAACCAUGAUAGAUUCUAUC